GAUGAACGCUGGCGGCGUGCCUAAUACAUGCAAGUCGAGCGAACGGACGAGAAGCUUGCUUCUCUGAUGUUAGCGGCGGACGGGUGAGUAACACGUGGAUAACCUACCUAUAAGACUGGGAUAACUUCGGGAAACCGGAGCUAAUACCGGAUAAUAUUUUGAACCGCAUGGUUCAAAAGUGAAAGACGGUCUUGCUGUCACUUAUAGAUGGAUCCGCGCUGCAUUAGCUAGUUGGUAAGGUAACGGCUUACCAAGGCAACGAUGCAUAGCCGACCUGAGAGGGUGAUCGGCCACACUGGAACUGAGACACGGUCCAGACUCCUACGGGAGGCAGCAGUAGGGAAUCUUCCGCAGUGGGCGAAAGCCUGACGGAGCAACGCCGCGUGAGUGAUGAAGGUCUUCGGAUCGUAAAACUCUGUUAUCAGGGAAGAACAUAUGUGUAAGUAACUGUGCACAUCUUGACGGUACCUAAUCAGAAAGCCACGGCUAACUACGUG
rnacentral:rRNA from 1 species